rnacentral:lncRNA from 1 species
GAAGGAAAACAUAAGUAAAACCCUUCCCUACUAUUUAAGUCGUCGCCCAUACGAGAAAACUUGUGUGCGGUUGAGCCCUUGCUAGAUUCGUUGGGCACACACGGGAGGGACUAAGGGCAUUGCCCUCCCACCAACAACAACCACCACCACAACAUAAUCAAAAGAAACCACGACAACAACAACAACAACAACAACUACGACAACAACGACAACAACGACAACAACGACAAAAACAACAACAACAACAACAACAACAACAACUACAACAACAACAACAACAACAACAACAACAACAACAACAACAGCAACAACAGCUACAACAACAACAACUAUAGCAACAACAGCAACAGCAGCAACAACAACAACAAUAGCAACAACAGCAAC